rnacentral:lncRNA from 1 species
GUGGAUGCAGGAGGAGAUAGCAACAGAAUGAGUGUCACUUUCUAAUAUAUGUGAGAAAAGCAACAGAACAUCACGAAAGGUUAUAGCAUAAUAGGGGUGAUAUUCUAAUAGAACAUGACAAGAUGUAGGUCAUAGAACAAUUGUGAAAGAUUUGUUUUAUAAAUUGAUCAAGUUUAACUGGACAUAAGUUCAACAUGAUGAAAAUUGCAUUCAGUUCAUGACAGGGAAAUCUG